UACGGAGGAUCCGAGCGUUGUCCGGAUUUAUUGGGUUUAAAGGGUGCGUAGGCGGUUUUAUAAGUCAGUGGUUUAAAGACUCUCGCUCAACGAGAGGGAUGCCAUUGAUACUGUAGAACUUGAGUACUGUAGAGGUAGGCGGAAUUGGUAGUGUAGCGGUGAAAUGCAUAGAUACUACCAGGAACACCGAUUGCGAAGGCAGCUUACUGGAGAGUAACUGACGCUGAGGCACGAAAGCGUGGGGAGCGAACAGG
rnacentral:rRNA from 1 species